rnacentral:rRNA from 1 species
UACGUAGGUGGCAAGCGUUGUCCGGAUUUAUUGGGCGUAAAGCGCACGUAGGCGGUUUGUUAAGUCGGAUGUGAAAUCCCUCGGCUCAACUGAGGAAGUGCACCCGAAACUGGCAGGCUUGAGUACUAAAGAGGGUCGCGGAAUUCCCGGUGUAGAGGUGAAAUUCGUAGAUAUCGGGAGGAACACCGGUGGCGAAGGCGGCGACCUGGGUAGAUACUGACGCUGAGGUGCGAAAGCGUGGGGAGCAAACAGG